rnacentral:rRNA from 1 species
AACGAACGCUGGCGGCAGGCUUAACACAUGCAAGUCGAACGCGUGCAGCAAUGCACGAGUGGCGCACGGGUGAGUAACGCGUGGAUAUCUGCCUUUUGGUUCGGAAUAACCCCGGGAAACUGGGGCUAAUACCGGAUGGUUCCUACGGGAUAAAGAUUUAUCGCCAAAAGAUGAGUCCGCGUCCGAUUAGCUAGUUGGUGAGGUAAUGGCUCACCAAGGCGACGAUCGGUAGCUGGUCUGAGAGGACGAUCAGUCACACUGGGACUGAGACACGGCCCAGAUUAUGGGGGGGGGCAGCAGGGGAUAGUAUGCAGCAGUCGGGCCGAACUUGUAGCAGCGGUGACGUGUGGGAAGGGAAGGUCGUUGGUUUAUAAAGCUCUGUAGGGGGUGAUGGCGCCGAGGGUACCAACAGAAUAAGCCCCGCCUAGAGCCGUACGACCGACAGAAGGAUUAGACGAAGAGAACACGGCCGAAC